rnacentral:lncRNA from 1 species
GUUGGAUUAGUACGUCAGGCUAUUUGAUAAUCGGUGGCAAAUCGAAUAUGCUUCGACCGAUUGUAGUCUAGUCGAUAUGAUUCCAAUGCGAUCUUGAUCGUAUUGGCAUAGCAUUCCACUUAGUUAAGACUAAGUCGGCAUAAUCAGCUUUUACAAUGGAGAGCCGAAAUAUGUUUGGUAUCGAGGCAUAGUCGGUGUUAUGGCUUUACAGUGA